ensembl:lncRNA
AUGAACAUCUGGGGAGAUUUUUCAAAGGAGCCAGUGAAUCCUCCUGGGCAGGGGCUGUUGCUCCAUCCUGAGCCGCUGGGGAGCUGCAUUCACACCCACACAGGGGCCAAAGAGCCCAAACAGGGUGCAAACAGCCACUGCCCCAGUGCUGCCCGUGGCAGCGACACAGCACGUGGGCUGCCACAUGCCAGGAGCCCCGAGCGUGGAGCAGCAGCAGCUCCAUGGAGAGCUGAGGAGCACAGGACAGGAGCUGACUCAGUCCAUGGCAAGGAGGAUCUCCCAGCACAGGAAUCUGGAAUCCAAAGAGGAAAGUAUUUGCAAAAGCUCUGUGGCUUCAGGGUCUUUGCACUCCCAACAGCAGGAGGAGAUGAGAAGCUCCCAAGACAGGCUGUUCUCCUGAGGCUCCCAGCCCAAUGUCCAGGAACUGGGGCAGGUCCAGUGCAUUCAAGGGGAUGGAUUUUCCUUCAGAGGGAUGAAAUAUUCAGGUGGAGAAGAAAAAUGGAUGUAAUGGACAUGUACCAAAACACAUGCUGCAGAACCAGGCUCAGUUUAGUCUGGCAGAAGGCCCUGAUGUGUGUGAAAAAAGAGAAAACCCCCAGCCCCAGCAAGAAGAGGCAGGAAAUGCCAAACCACAGCGUUGGGGGCAAGAGGUGAAUUGGAGCCCUGCUGGCCUGUGCUGCUCUGUGCUGAACUCCCCGUGGGCUGGUGCUGCCUGGGAGGAGCUGUUCCCUGGGCUGUGGCAGCCAGACUGGUUUGGUGACUGCUGCAUUUGCUUCUCCCUGGCCCCCUGCACUCCAGCUGCUGCCCCUCAUAAUCCUAAUCCAUCCCGUGGUGCAGUGCCCUGUCCUGCCUUCCUGCACAGCACUGCAAGCAGCUCCUGGGUUUUCUGUAGGAUCAAGAGGAGGAAGAUGAUCCUAUGGCUGCAGGGAAGGAUUACAGGUUGGAAUCUGUGCCCUAUUUCAGCCUAUGCUCUUGGGCAAAUUGAAUUAUCUAUGCUUUCCAUAGUUCUGUGUAAAGAAACUUUACACUUGGAGAUGAGGACAUUAUCCCACUUCCUUCCCCCUCUGAAUUAAAUAUCUGUCAAUUCCUUGUGAGAUGCAAAGGGGCCAAAAUCCCACACAAACAGCCUGCAGAUACUUUUCAAUGGAUUUUAUACCUAGAGGGUCCCAUUGAAAUGCAAAUAUUGGGCCCUUCCCAAUGAAACAAGUUUCUGUACCACAGAUAACCUAAGCUACAGGAAGUAGAAUAGUCCAUAUGGAAAUAACCUUCCCAUUUAAAACAUGAGUACCUUUCAGUGCACCUGGAGAGGGAUGGGAGAUGGCAAGGCACCAGUGGAGCACAAAGCCAGAGGAAGUGGCCUCUUGGAGCCACCUUUCUGUGCUGUCUCCAGGUCUUGGGAGCGCUGGAGAGACUCCAGCAGGGCCAUCACCUGCCCUGAGCUGGCAGAGGAAACAGGGCCUGAGCACCAGAGGUGAGAGGAUCCAUCCCAGCUGCCACGGCCAAUCCUGCUGGAACUGCUUCACCCAGGCUGCUGCUGGAGGUGGCAGAGGCACCCCAACAGGAAAGUCUCAGAAAAGAAUCUGCUGUACCAUCUCCUGCCAUCAAAGCUGAGUCAGAAAACUGGAUUUGUGUGUGUGUUUUCCUCAAGACACACAGCCCCUACAUGCUGAGGACUCCAGCCAACAAAAUUUCAAUUUGGUUCAACUUAUUCCUGGAAGCGUGUGGGGCACUGACCCCAGUACCUCAAAGCAAAGUCACAGCUCUUCUGCAAAACCUGUGAUCACUUUUUCCCAAACAGCGUCCCAUUUCAGCAAUGGAAAAUCUCUGUCUAAAGGUGCACAUACCAUUUUUCAUCAGUGUAACAACAGACAGGGUUGCAGCUCGUUUAAUUAAGGAGCCUAAUUUCCCUCAAUUGUCUGUUUAGGCAUCACACAAGUGUUUCAUUUCAGAGUGCAUUAGUACAUGAGGCUCUAAGCCUAAAAGCUAAUUUUUAACUUAACCUAAUAAUGUUAGUAAUAACGACCUGUGAUUAUUGUCUUGUGAAUCAGAACCUAUGAUACUUAAAAUAAUUAGCAUCAAAGCCUAACUAGUACCUUGCUAAAUUCAUUAUUAGACCUAAACCCUCAGCACUGAAUUGAACUUUAAAAUGAAUGUCGGUGUGGGCUUUCCCCACACACACUGGAGGCAUCAUUUUAACAAAUUUAAUUUGGAAAUGUAGUUAAAGUCUUGAUCACCAAUCUUUUCUUGGAGGAAGAAACUGGCAUUAGCACAAAGUACAAUUUGAUUAAAGAACAAUGAUCUAUUUUAUGUGGUCCCUGCUACAUUUGGAGCACACAUUUCCCUCCAGCUAGGGAAUUACUCCAGGAAUACUACACUGCCCCAAACCUGUGGCCAGUGAAGCCCAAUAAACUCUCAGGGGACAUCUCUGGGGGGCUUCUG